rnacentral:rRNA from 1 species
UACAGAGGGGGCAAGCGUUGUUCGGAAUUACUGGGCGUAAAGCGCGCGUAGGCGGCCUUCUAAGUCGAACGUGAAAUCCCCGGGCUCAACCCGGGAACUGCGUCCGAUACUGGAAGGCUUGAAUCCGGGAGAGGGAUGCGGAAUUCCAGGUGUGGCGGUGAAAUGCGUAGAUAUCUGGAGGAACGCCGGUGGCGAAGGCGGCAUCCUGGACCGGCAUUGACGCUGAGGCGCGAAAGCCAGGGGAGCAAACGGG